rnacentral:lncRNA from 1 species
AAUACAUAAAGCACUUCGCGGGUGAGAUUUGCCUUGCAUCGGUGGUGUCAUGUGUUUAUCAUGGAGCUUGCACGAAUGCAAGGAUGCUUGCCUUUUCCCUCACGCUAUUUUGCCUGGGAACAGUUCUUGCUUAUUCCCGCUAUCUACAAUGGGAUGGACUCAGACCAUGGAUUCCUAGCAGCACUGUCAAGCCUGGCUCAUCAAGAGGUGCAGGAGCGAUGAGGCUCAUCCCGCAACCCGACCCUAGGUAGGGAAGGACAUCUAAUAGUGAAGAAGCGCGCAAAUGCCAGCUGGAACUCAUGGCCACGCAAAAUAUGCUGGCGUGUAAGGUGUUGCGAAGAGCCAAAAGCCUGUCAGUCGCCCAUAGCGCCAAUUUGAGAAUUACAGUGGCUCCUCUUCCACCUGUUCUUUUUCUCGUCACUGACACAGCCAACCUGCACUAGCCAGUAUGCCGACACUCGUCCAACCGAAAGAAAGCGCCGCAGGCAACCGCACACACACACACACGCACGCACAGAGGGCCCGCUGCGGAAACAGGCACUAUCAUGUUGCACGUUCGCCCCGCCUCCACGUAUCAAAGCACUCUAAUAACAAACCGUCCUGUUUCGACCGCGAUAAACCUCGUUCUUUCCUGUAAUUAAAUCUGUAGCUAUCAUCUACUCUGAAGUGGGAAAGACGGACCCAAAUGACCCGUGACGAGGACAGCCCUUCGAACAGUCGCCGCUGCUGCUGUUGCACACAGCACGAGUACGGACCACAAGCAGCCCAACAAGCGCGUCCCCGUAAAAAUAAAAUAUAGCAAUCAAUAACUAACACUAAAGGAAUCGCUCAGCGGCCAAAGUGCAGUUGCAACUGUUGUGCAAGUCAUGCAUGUCUCAACGCCAGUUCGAUGACACCCCCACUGUCCCGACGCCCAUAUAUCUUAAAGGUUUCACACACCGGCACCCGACCAACCGCAGAACCUCACACCGAUUCUUCACAGCUUCUGAGCCGGCGGCAAGUCGCGAAUGCCACAGCCUAGCCCCGCAGUCAAUCAAGCUCGAAGUACGGUACCAUGGCCCGGAGGAAACUGAACGAACGGCUAGUUGCGUGUAGCCAUCUCCGUCUGUCUCCGUGCCCUUCCGUCUCGCUUUGCAGCCACCCUCCCACAGCUGUGAGCACACACUGUGAGCCUCGAGGAGGAGAGAUUCCCCCAGAACUGCCCCAGAAACAAGACGUCCUUGGCGGCGUCAUGAGUUUUGGCGACACGUGCGCACACACGCAGCACCCUCAAAUUGCAGCGACACGCUCAUAUUGGCGCG